GAGGGGAAGAGAAAGGACGGUACCCUCCGAAUAAGCCUCGGCUAACUACGUGCCAGCAGCCGCGGUAACACGUAGGAGGCGAGCGUUAUCCGGAUUUACUGGGUGUAAAGCGCGUGCAGGCGGUUCGGUAAGUUGGAUGUGAAAGCUCCUGGCUUAACUGGGAGAGGUCGUUCAAUACUGCCGGGCUAGAGGAUGGGAGAGGGAGGUGGAAUUCCGGGUGUAGUGGUGAAAUGCGUAGAUAUCCGGAGGAACACCAGUGGCGAAGGCGGCCUCCUGGCCCAUUUCUGACGCUCAGACGCGAAAGCUAGGGGAGCGAACGGGAUUAGAGACCCCGGUAGUCCUAGCCGUAAACGAUGUGAACUUGGCGUCGGCGGGUUUAAAUCCGUCGGUGCCGCAGCUAACGCGAUAAGUUCACCACCUGAGUACUACGGCCGCAAGGUUAAAACUCAAAGGAAUUGACGGGUCCCCGCACAAGCAGCGGAGCGUGUGGUUUAAUUCGUUGCUACACGAAGAACCUUACCAGGGUUUGACAUACAGGUGGUAGUGAAGCGAAAGCAGAACGACCCUUCGGGGAGCCUGUACAGGUGUUGCAUGGCUGUCGUCAGCUCGUGUCGUGAGAUGUUCGGUUAAGUCCGCUAACGAGCGCAACCCUCGCUGUGUGUUACAUGUGUCACACGGGACUGCCGGUGUCAAGCCGGAGGAAGGUGGGGAUGACGUCAAGUCAGCAUGACCUUUAUAUCCUGGGCUACACACACGCUACAAUGGUCGGCACAAUGGGUCGCUAAGCCGCGAGGUAGAGCCAAUCCUCAAAGUCGGCCUCAGUUCAGAUCGCAGGCUGCAACUCGCCUGCGUGAAGCCGGAGUUGCUAGUAACCGCAGGUCAGCUAUACUGCGGUGAAUACGUUCCCGGGGGUUGUACUCACCGCCCGUCAAG
rnacentral:rRNA from 1 species